AUUGUAUAUGUAUAUGUUGGUUUCCAGUUUUUCCUUGGCUCUAUGGUGUGGGAAGGGCUGCAGACCAUGUGAUCAGAACUGGGCUUGUUCAGGACUCAUACUCCAUUUUAGAGACAGUAUGCCUUCAGACUUCAGUAGGAACUGUAUGCUUUAGAUUCCAUUGGACUUCUAGACUAGCCAGAGACUCUAUUAGACUCUCAGAAGAGAGAGAUGCUUUGGACUAUAGACUAUCGAUUCUAAGAAAGAUGCCCUGUGUUAUCUACACAGAGAAGCUACUUCAAAUCCUAUUUCUAACUGGAUUGAUAAGCAAAGUACCUGCAUGCUGAAUACAUGAAGUCUAUUUAAUUGAGAGUUCUUGGUGCAGACUGCAAAUGGAGACUAUUGACAAUGGUACAAGUGAUCAGCUCACAGAUGGGGAUGUGGACAAGGAAGCUCUGUCUGAGAUUUCUGAAGACGUUUUCUAUGGGCUGAAUCCAGAGGAGAAGGAAUGUCUAGAGUACUUUCUGCAAACAAUCAACACCUUUGAUGGGGAUAUCUUAAACAACAAUGAUGAAGAAAGUCAUGAAGAAAUGUCAGAAUCUCUAGGUUCUGAGGACCAAGCCGAACAUGCAGUUGAUUCCAGGAUACAAGAAAGUAUGCCUCUAGAGGCAGCCCCAGCAAAAUCUGUUUCUCCUCACCCAGCUGUCUUUGCAACUAAAAUGAUCAAGUCCUCUUCAGAGGAAUGUAGUGACAUAACCCUGAGGAUCAAGAGCAAUUGUCCUAAAAUCAUGGGACCUCACAGAUUAGCAGAUCCUCAUUCUGUAAACCUCAGAAAGUUUGACACGAUCAUGAGAUCAGGUGUCAAUGUCCAAGAGCUCCGUUCUCGUUUCUUACUUCAGCUUGGUGGCUCUACCACUGUGGACAGGGAAACAACAGAGUUACCUAAGGAUGGAGGUUUGCAGAAAUUGAACAACCUGCAGAGAAACAAAAGUGUCCCAACUGUUAAGAGCCCUCAAAUGUCCAUUGCUUGUCAGCAAACCCAGAUUUCACCUGCUGAAAGGAUGGAACAUGAAGUCACCGAAAGUACCACUAGCACAGCUGAAAAGCCUUUCUAA
rnacentral:lncRNA from 1 species